GAAGAACCAGACCCAGCUACUAAUGAAAUACACAGCUGCCUCAUGAUGGAGUGUAUAGCUGCGUGGAUCUCUCAGACAUCCUCUAGCGCUGUAUGGAAUGCUCUGUUGGUGAAUGGAUGUCCGUUUGGGUGUAACUUAGAAGAGAGAGACAAAGGAACAACUCACUCUUCCAUGAUGCUGACGUCCCUCCCAGUCAUAUCUUCAAAUAAAUGGUCUGGGAGACCAAACUCCGAAGUCAAAAUGCUUGGACACCAAAGCCCAUUUUCUCUUCUUCUUACCUCAGUGACUGUGUGACUGUCUGCCUCAGUUAUGCCAUCCAAAAGUGGGAAUAAUAACAGUACCUACCUAGCUCACCUACUUAAGAC
rnacentral:lncRNA from 1 species